UACGUAGGGGGCAAGCGUUGUCCGGAUUUAUUGGGCGUAAAGAGCGUGUAGGCGGCCAUACAGGUCCGUUGUGAAAACUGGAGGCUUAACCUCCAGACGUCGAUGGAAACCGUAUGGCUAGAGUCCGGAAGAGGAGAGUGGAAUUCCUGGUGUAGCGGUGAAAUGCGCAGAUAUCAGGAGGAACACCAAUUGCGAAGGCAGCACCUGGUCGGACGCGACUGACGAGCGCGAAAGCGUGGGGAGCAAACAGG
rnacentral:rRNA from 1 species